rnacentral:rRNA from 1 species
AUUGAACGCUGGCGGCAGGCCUAACACAUGCAAGUCGAGCGGAUGAGUGGAGCUUGCUCCAUGAUUCAGCGGCGGACGGGUGAGUAAUGCCUAGGAAUCUGCCUGGUAGUGGGGGACAACGUUUCGAAAGGAACGCUAAUACCGCAUACGUCCUACGGGAGAAAGUGGGGGAUCUUCGGACCUCACGCUAUCAGAUGAGCCUAGGUCGGAUUAGCUAGUUGGUGAGGUAAAGGCUCACCAAGGCGACGAUCCGUAACUGGUCUGAGAGGAUGAUCAGUCACACUGGAACUGAGACACGGUCCAGACUCCUACGGGAGGCAGCAGUGGGGAAUAUUGGACAAUGGGCGAAAGCCUGAUCCAGCCAUGCCGCGUGUGUGAAGAAGGUCUUCGGAUUGUAAAGCACUUUAAGUUGGGAGGAAGAGUCGUUACCUAAUACGUGACGAUUUUGACGUUACCGACAGAAUAAGCACCGGCUAACUCUGUGCCAGCAGCCGCCGUAAUAC